rnacentral:rRNA from 1 species
CUACGGGAGGCAGCAGUCGAGAAUCUUCCGCAAUGGGCGAAAGCCUGACGGAGCGACGUUACGUGAAUGAUGAAGUCCUUCGGGGUGUAAAGUUCUUUUAUGUGGGAAUAAGUUAUUGAAGGUACCACAUGAAUAAGGGGGUGCUAAUUCUGUGCCAGCAGCAGCGGUAAUACAGAACCCCCAAGCGUUACCCGGAUUUAUUGGGCGUAAAGGGUCCGUAGGUGGUUUUGUAAGUCUUCAAUUAAAGCUCAUCGGCUCAACCUUUGAGAUCGUGAAGAUACUGCAAGACUAGAGGGCGUUAGAGGCUAACGGAACCGACGGAGUAGGGGUGAAAUCCGUUGAUAUCGUCGGGAACACCAAAUGCGAAGGCAGUUAGCUGGGGCGACCCUGACACUGAGGGACGAAAGCGUGGGUAGCGAACAGGAUUAGAUACCCGGGUAGUC